rnacentral:rRNA from 1 species
UACGUAGGGUGCGAGCGUUGUCCGGAAUUAUUGGGCGUAAAGAGCUUGUAGGCGGUCUGUCGCGUCUGCUGUGAAAAAUCCGGGGGCUCAACCCCCGGACUUGCAGUGGGUACGGGCAGACUAGAGUGUGGUAGGGGAGACUGGAAUUCCUGGUGUAGCGGUGAAAUGCGCAGAUAUCAGGAGGAACACCGAUGGCGGAAGGC